rnacentral:rRNA from 1 species
CCAGACUCCUACGGGAGGCAGCAGUGGGGAAUAUUGCACAAUGGGGGGAACCCUGAUGCAGCGACGCCGCGUGAGUGAAGAAGUAUUUCGGUAUGUAAAGCUCUGUCAGCAGGGAAGAAGAAAGACGGUACCUGACCAAGAAGCCCCGGCUAACUACGUGCCAGCAGCCGCGGUAAUACGUAGGGGGCAAGCGUUAUCCGGAUUUACUGGGUGUAAAGGGGGCGCAGACGGGGAUGCAAGCCAGGAGUGAAAGCCCGGGGCCCAACCCCGGGACUGCUCUUGGAACUGCGUGGCUGGAGUGCAGGAGGGGCAGGCGGAAUUCCUGGUGUAGCGGUGAAAUGCGUAGAUAUCAGGAGGAACACCGGUGGCGAAGGCGGCCUGCUGGACUGCAACUGACGUUGAGGCCCGAAAGCGUGGGGAGCAAACAGGAUUAGAUACCCGAGUAA